AUUAAUACUAAGCAACAUACUAUCAACAAUUAAAUUGUAUUUUAUAGAUGAUAAAAGUCAGAAAAGAUCAACUUAUAGAAAGUAUAGUGAAUGCUUGAUAUUCCAAUGUAUUUAUAAUGAAGAUAUAAGUUCAGUUUUAUCUUAUAGUAAGAUUUGAAUGAAUAAAAGGUAAAAGAGACAUUACAGGAGAAAGGAUCAUCAACUUGAGGAAACAAAAACAGAAGAUAAUAUAGGUGAGAAUUCACUCAAAGAAAGGAUAACAAGUAAAAACAUGCAAUAACGGGAAAAGAGGUUUUAUUUGUGGGAGAAUGCACAUUGAGCAUGAAUCUUUGUCAGGCAUGGUAGCUAAUGCCUGCAAUCCCAGUAGUCUGGCAACCC
rnacentral:lncRNA from 10 species